AGGACGAACGCUGGCGGCGUGCUUAACACAUGCAAGUCGAACGAUGACCAGGAGCUUGCUCCUGCGAUUAGUGGCGAACGGGUGAGUAACACGUGAGUAACCUGCCCUUGACUCUGGGAUAAGCACUGGAAACGGUGUCUAAUACCGGAUACGACCCUCGGAGGCAUCUUCAGGGGGUGAAAGAUUUUGGCAAGGAUGGACUCGCGGCCUAUCAGGUAGUUGGUGAGGUAACGCUCACCAAGCCGACGACGGGUAGCCGGCCUGAGAGGGUGACCGGCACGACGUGGGACUGAGACACGGCCCAGACUCCGUACGGGAGGCAGGCAGGUGGGAAUAGUGCAACAAGUCGGGACGAAAGCCGUAGAUGCAGCAACGCCGCGUAGGACGGACGGACGGUCCGUUCGGUUACGUAACCGUUCGUUUAAGGUAAGGAAGAAGACGUAAAGU
rnacentral:rRNA from 1 species